ACAAUUACAAUUACAAUAUAUCGCAUCCCUUGACAUGCGAUAGCCCAUAAUAUUAAAACCAUUCAUGGGUGGGUAAUUGGAUAUUGACUUAUUUUGGGCUUAUAAUUUUAUGGGCUAGACUCUUAAAUGGAGCUAGAAUUAAAGAAAAAUCAAAUGAAGAAGUUAGCGAGAAAACGGGGGAGAAUUCUUCGACAAGAAGAACAAGUACUUCUGAUCUGCUAUGGAGCUUUCCUCUUCUACUCUAUUUUUUAAGCAGUUCAUAUCACCAUGGAAACUGGUAUAUGAUAAUUUCUCACUAUAUGGAUUACACACUAAUUCUCCCUGUUUAUGGAGUUAUAUUAACUUAUACAUAUACAAAUGUCUUUUUAUUUAAGAUAUUGUACCGUCUGUAUUUCAUGAAUUCUUCUCAAGUGAUGCCAUUUUUUCCUGUGUAUUAUCAUGCGUUCAUUAAUCAUUAUUUAUGUCUCGCCAUUCUUAAGGUGGUAUGGCCGAUAGUGACCUUGUGUUGAAUGGUGUUUAAGCUAUUGUACCAAUAUGGGAAAAUAACAAAUAUGUGACUAUGUUUAAUGAAUAUUAAUCUCUCCCCACUUUCAUAGAAAACUCUGUCUGUAGUUCUUUGAGUAUCAAAUGUCAUAGGAGAUGAUGAUAGAUUAAUGUAGAGCGAGAAAGAGUGUGUUCAGUUUUAGUUUCUUGGACCUUAGGCACCUAAAAAUACUUCUUGAUACAUGGUUAGUAGAACCAUAUAUUAUGGCCAUACUUUAACCUUACUACCAUCAGAGAAAGUUAUGCUGCUUGAUCUUCAAUUCGAUUUUUCUGUUUUUCGCAUAUUUUCAAUUUUUACAUGCACACCGGUUUUUUGGAUCAGAGUGGAUUGCUAUCUUGGCUUGCUCCCUCUCAGUUACUGGGCCAAUUAGAUAAGAAGAAUGGUCACAGACGACGGUGGUUCUGGUACUCGUUUGUUAUUGUCUCUGUAUUGACAAUCUUUUGUUUUAUUACUUACUGAGGUAAAACUAGAUUAGUCCUCGACAUAUAUACAUUUCACUAGUAUCACCUACCAUCUUACAAUUGAUCUACCUUCAUUAUUAUUACCGUUACUAGAUUUAGAAGAAAGCUAUAGCAAACAUAUAGAAUCAUUGUUUCAUACCAAUAGUGAUGUUUCUCUUCAGUUCCUUUCAUUCGUGCUCUCUGUAGAUUUGUGCUAAUAAUCUGUUCUCACACUCGUGUUCUACGCUUCCACAGUUCCAGUAGGAUGCUAUCUGGCUUCCAUUUGGGCCCCUUUUAGUAUGUGUAUCUAUCGCGUAUAUGUACCCGGUGUCUGUAACACUAAUGUUGUAUCAACUUACUAUACUUUGAAAUUGAAGCGGAGCUGGAACAUGUCGAUGUGGACCACCUACUGAAGGCAAGGAAUCAUCUGAAGAAGUGAAAAGCCUAAGCAACUGUAUGUAUCCGUAUAAAGCAAGGUAGAGAAUAGAGAUAAAGGCCAUCACAGUACUCUUCAGAGUAAAUUUGUCAUAGCAAGAGUGCAAGUUUUGACUCUAUCAUCCCUCUUAAUAACAUCCGUCUGUUGCUAAAUAGUCCA
rnacentral:lncRNA from 1 species